AAGCCUCGAAUUUACUAAUUGUAGCACAUGACAUUGAUAGUUAAAUUCUCCUAACAUUCCUAUUAUACCCACACCAUCACCCAAAAAUAACAAAAUCACCGAACUACACAAACCCGAAUUGCAAGGUCCCAAAAUAACCAAAAUCCAAUCCUCUAGCUCUGCUGCGCCCUAAUCCCCCAAUUAACCUCACCGGCUAUAACCG